GUACACGAGCGGCGGACGGCUGAGUAACACGUAGGAACGUACCCCAAAGUGAGGGAUAAGCACCAAAAAUGGUGUCUAAUACCGCAUGUGCUCUAAGGAGUAAAGCUUUAUGCGCUUUGGGAGCGGCCUGCGCCUGAUUAGUUUGUUGGUGAGGUAAUGGCUCACCAAGACUACGAUCAGUAGCUGGUCUGAGAGGAUGAUCAGCCAGACUGGGACUGAGAACGGCCCAAACUCCUACGGGAGGCAGCAGUAGGGAAUUUUCCACAAUGGACGAAAGUCUGAUGGAGCAACGCCGCGUGCAGGAUGAAUGCCUUUGGGUUGUAAACUGCUUUUAUCUGUGACGAAUAUGACGGUAGCAAAUGAAUAAGGAUCGGCUAACUCCGUGCCAGCAGCCGCGGUCAUACGGAGGAUCCAAGCGUUAUCCGGAAUUACUGGGCGUAAAGAGUUGCGUAGGUGGCAUUGUAAGUUAGUAGUGAAAUCGUGUGGCUCAACCAUGCUCACAUUACUAAAACUACAAAGCUAGAGAAUGAGAGAGGUCGCUAGAAUUCCCUGUGUAGGAGUGAAAUCCGUAGAUAUAGGGAGGAAUACCGAUGGCGUAGGCAGGCGACUGGCUCAUUUCUGACACUAAGGCACGAAAGCGUGGGUAGCAAACGGGAUUAGAUACCCCGGUAGUCCACGCCGUAAACUAUGGAUGCUAGCUGUUAACCGUAUCGACCCGGUUAGUAGCGAAGCUAACGCGUUAAGCAUCCCGCCUGUGGAGUACGGUCGCAAGACUAAAACAUAAAGGAAUUGACGGGGACCCGCACAGCGGUGGAGCGGUGUUCUUUAAUUCGACGGUAAGCGAAGAAUCCUUACCAGG
rnacentral:rRNA from 1 species